rnacentral:rRNA from 1 species
CAGCAGCCGCGGGAAAACGUAGGUGGCAAGCGUUGUCCGGAAUUAUUGGGCGUAAAGGGCUCGCAGGCGGCUUCUUAAGUCUGAUGUGAAAGCCCCCGGCUCAACCGGGGAGGGUCAUUGGAAACUGGGAAACCUGAGUGCAGAAGAGGAGAGUGGAAUUCCACGUGUAGCGGUGAAAUGCGUAGAGAUGUGGAGGAACACCAGUGGCGAAGGCGACUCUCUGGUCUGUAACUGAUGCUGAGGAGCGAAAGCGUGGGGAGCGAACAGGAUUAGAUACCCCAGUAGUCCCUGUCUCUUAUAC